rnacentral:rRNA from 1 species
UACGUAGGGUGCGAGCGUUGUCCGGAAUUAUUGGGCGUAAAGAGCGUGUAGGCGGUCCGGUAAGUCAGCUGUGAAAGUCAAGGGCUCAACCCUUGAAUGCCGGUUGAUACUGUCGGGCUAGAGUCCGGAAGAGGCGAGUGGAAUUCCCGGUGUAGCGGUGAAAUGCGCAGAUAUCAGGAGGAACACCGGUGGCGAAGGCGGGGUCUCUGGGCCGAUACUGACGCUGAGGAGCGAAAGCGUGGGGAGCGAACAGG